rnacentral:rRNA from 1 species
CCCUUAGAUGUUCUGGGCCGCACGCGCGCUACACUGAUACGUUCAACGAGUCCAAAACCUUGAUUGAUAGGUCUGGGUAAUCUUUUGAAGACGUAUCGUGCUAGGGAUAGAUUAUUGCAAUUAUUAAUCUUGAACGAGGAAUUCCUAGUAAACGCAAGUCAUCAGCUUGCAUUGAUUACGUCCCUGCCCUUUGUACACACCGCCCGUCGCACCUACCGAUUGAGUGAUCCGGUGAAUAAUUCGGACUGACGCAGUGCUCAGCUUCUGGACGUUGCGUCGGAAAGUUUCAUGAACCUUAUCACUUAGAGGAAGGAGAAGUCGUAACA